rnacentral:lncRNA from 1 species
UAGAGUUUGAACCAAUCAUUUUUCAGUUAGUGUACAUCUGUAUUCAACUGAUGUUGUGUGUACUUCAGAGACAUACAGUAACUUCAGGACUGAAGGGUUUUAUAUCCACCAUUUGUAGGAUCUGAGAAGAGUCAGAGAUCAGUCUGAUGGAGCAUAAAAUAAAGACGGAUGUCUGGUACAAUUAUUAAUUUGACAUAUUUUUGUUAACUUUGUGUGUUAAGUGUUCCUCAAGGCCCAGCAAAUCUUGAGGAACAGGAGAAGUGCAUCAGUUUCACAGAGUAUCUCCUGGACAACCUCAAACAUCUACUUCCAAACAUGUACCCUCACGCAUCUGUCAGCAACACAACAGUGAGUUUAGACUUAUGUUUAUAUUUGUAUUUGUGUUUAUAAUGUUGUGAAUCUGAUGAAAUGAUGAUAAAUAAUUAUUUUUUUUGGUUUGGUUCAUGAGUGAGAGAUUCAGAAAUGUGUUUGUGUAUAUGAUGAGGCAGACAGUGUGUUUGAGGAGAGAGGAGACAUCACCAUUGAAGAGUGUGUCCAGCUGCUGCCUCUCACAGAGAACAGGUCCAAGCCACCAAAAGUUGGACAACUUGGGCGUCUCAAAAAAAGAUUAACACAUUUUUGGAGAAAGUUCGGCUCAUGCACUGGCAGCCCCUAUAAAGAGAGUAAAGAGCCUUCUGGAGCCGGUGAUGGACAAAAGCAACCAAUGAGGGUCACCGGAAAACGUUGAGGGCCGGUGAGGGUCACUGAAGGACUGUGAGGGGUUGGUGACAUUCACCUGAGUGCACAAAUGGUUUGGUGAGGGUCACCAGAGAAUAAUGUGACUGGUAAGGGUCACCUGAAAACACAGAGUUGGUGAGGGUCACCAGAGGACAUAGGACUGGUGAGGGUCAUCUCAAGGCAUGGAGAGUUAAUGAGGGUCACCAGAGGACAAUACGACAGGAGAGGGACACCUGAAAACACUGAGGGUUGGUGAGGGUCACCUGAAGACACAGAGGGUUGGUGAGGGUCACUCAAUUAAAGCUUGUCAUUUUCAUUUAAUUACUGUCUCUCUUGUUUUUUGUGUCUGUAUUCUGCAGUCUUUAGUGUGUAAUAGUAGCAUUUUCUGCACUCAGAUGUUUACAAAUCUAAAAACAUUUACAAUAAAAUAAACAUGGUAUUACAAAACAAUAAAAUUAAAAAUGUAUGACAUUACAUAAUUUUGUUUAUUUAUUAUAUAUAAUAAAAUGAAUGAAUGAAUGAAUGAAUGAAUGAAUGAAUGAAUGAAUGAAUGAACGAACGAACGAACGAACGAAUGAAUGAAUGAAUUAAACUUAAAAUCAUGUUACUCUAAACUUAAAUAGCAAGUGAAUUACACAAGGAGCUGUCUUUAUUGUAAGUCAAAGAGAACGUAACCCAGUGUACUCUUGAACAUGUCAUGAGGUUCUUACUUUCAGACGAAUAUUAGAUGUUGCUGAGUGAAUUUACUUUGAGGGACA